AUGGCGAAAGAGCGCUCUGCGGGGGACCAGAUAGCGGCUUGGUUCGACCCCAAGGCGCGCGACAUGGGAGACGAGGACAUGGCGGCCUUCUUCGCCGCGCUGAUGCAGAUGAAGGACGCCGUCUCCGAUCGCGCCAACCAGGUUCUCCUCGAGGCGAUGCACGCCCACAUGAGCCGCAUGGCGGAGGUGGCCCCGCCGCCGCCGCCGCCCCAGAUCUCCUUGGAGUUCGGUAGCAGCAGCGGCACCGCCAACGACGGGAUGGAGUUCCAGUUUCUGGUGCCUCCGCCACAGGAGCAGGGUUUCGAGGCCGGGAUGGAUAUGCAGCAGAUGGUGAUGGCGCCGCUGCCUCCGUCUCAGGUGGUCGCCGCCGGGAUGGAUGUGCAGGAGAUGCCUCCGCCGCCGGGGUUGGCUGCCGGGAUGGAUACGGAGCAGAUGCAGAUGACGAUGCCUAAGCCGCCGGGGUUCGACGCAGGGCUAGACAAGGAGAUAGAUCAAUGGCUUGAUGUGAUGCUGCCGCGUCCGGAGUUCACUGCCGGGAUGGAGACGGUGCAGCAGGGGCUCCAUCAACCCAACGCCGGCUUCCCGUACUGA
rnacentral:rRNA from 1 species